rnacentral:rRNA from 1 species
UACGUAGGCAGCAAGUCGUUGUUCGGAGUUACUGGGCGUAAAGGGUGUGUAGGCGGUUGUUUAAGUUUGGGUGUCGAAAUCUCCCGGCUCAACUGGGAGGUGCGCCGAAUACUGAAUGACUAGAGUGCGGGAGAGGAAAGUGGAAUUCCUGGUGUAGCGGUGAAAUGCGUAGAUAUCGAGGAGGAACACCGGUGGUGUAGACGGCUUUCUGGACCGUAAC